rnacentral:rRNA from 1 species
UACGAAGGGAGCUAGCGUUGUUCGGAAUCACUGGGCGUAAAGCGCACGUAGGCGGAUGUGUCAGUCAGGGGUGAAAUCCCGGAGCUCAACUUCGGAACUGCCUUUGAUACAGCACGUCUUGAGUCCGAUAGAGGUGGGUGGAAUUCCUAGUGUAGAGGUGAAAUUCGUAGAUAUUCGGAGGAACACCAGUGGCGAAGGCGGCUCACUGGUCCAUUACUGACGCUGAGGUGCGAAAGCGUGGGGAGCAAACAGG